UGCAUGGUUGUCGUCAGCUCGUGCCGUGAGGUGUCGGGUUAAGUCCCAUAACGAGCGCAACCCUAUCAUAGUUGCCAUCAGGUCAAGCUGGGGACUCUAAUGAAACUGCCUACGCAAGUAGUGAGGAAGGUGGGGAUGACGUCAAAUCAGCACGGCCCUUACGUCCAGGGCUACACACGUGCUACAAUGGCCGGUACAAAGGGCAGCUACCUGGUGACAGGAUGCUAAUCUCAAAAGCCGGUCUCAGUUCGGAUCGGAGUCUGCAACCCGACUCCGUGGAGCUGGAAUCGCUAGUAAUCGCGCAUCAGCCAUGGCGCGGUGAAUACGUUCCCGGGCCUU
rnacentral:rRNA from 1 species